rnacentral:lncRNA from 1 species
AAUCUGGUUGCAGCAAAAAUUAAAUUAAUUUCAUAAAUUAGAAUUUAUAAUACAUCAUGUUAUCAUAUUUCUAUUCCUUUACAUACAUGUCAUUAUUACUAUAUAUAUAUAUAUUGUGCACUAACAAGUACUAACUUAUCAAUGAAAUGCUAUAUACUAACGUUAACGAGGCCGGGAUAAGGUACCGGUACUUCAUGUAUCUCUAACAAAUGUAAAAUUC